UACGUAGGGUGCAAGCGUUAAUCGGAAUUACUGGGCGUAAAGGGUGCGUAGGCGGUUCGUUAAGUCUGUUGUGAAAUCCCCGGGCUCAACCUGGGAAUGGCGAUGGAUACUGGCGAGCUAGAGUGUGUCAGAGGAUGGUGGAAUUCCCGGUGUAGCGGUGAAAUGCGUAGAGAUCGGGAGGAACAUCAGUGGCGAAGGCGACCAUCUGGGACAACACUGACGCUGAAGCACGAAAGCGUGGGGAGCAAACAGG
rnacentral:rRNA from 1 species